AUGGCCUGGACUCCUCUCCUCCUCGUGCUCCUCUCUCACUGUACAGGAUCCUGGGCCCAGUCUUUGACUCAGCCCGUCUCAGUGUCUGGGACCCUGGGGCAGAUAGUCACCAUCUCCUGCUCUGGAAGCAGCUCCAACAUCGGGCAUAGUAGUAGUUAUGUGGGCUGGUUCCAACAGAUCCCAGGAACAGCCCCCAAAACCCUCAUCUAUGAUACUAACAAACGACAAUCAGGGGUCCCAGAUCGAUUCUCUGGCUCCAAGUCUGGCAACACAGCCACUCUGACCAUCACUGCGCUCCAGGCUGAGGACGAGGCUGAUUAUUACUGUGGUAUCUAUGACAGCAGCCUGAGUAGUGACACAGUGCUCCAGGCCAGCGGGGAACCUGUGCUGACCCAGCCACCCUUCUUCUCUGCAUCUCCUGGAGCAUCAGCCAGACUCACCUGCACCCUGAGCAGUGACAUCAGUGUUGACAGCUCUCUCAUAUUCUGGUACCAGCAGAAGCCAGGGAGCCCUCCCCUGUAUCUCCUGAGUUUCUACUCAGACUCAGUUAAGCACCAGGGCUCCAGGGUCCCCAGCCACUUCUCUGGAUCCAAAGACACCUCGGCCAAUGCAGGGCUUCUGCUCAUCUCUGGGCUCAAGGCCGAGGACGAGGCUGACUAUUACUGUGCUACAGCUGAUAGCAGUGGGAGCAGCUCUGGUUACUGA